CACAACAGCUAACAAAUAUAAGGACAAGGAUAUUUAGAAAGACUUUUCUUCUUGUCCACAUAAUCAGGUGGUUUGGAGGCUCCUUUGUGCCGAGUUUUGUGACUUCUCUACUUCUCCUUUGGUUGUUUGCUAAUGUAGGCCAGUUUCGCGUUCAUCUCAUACCAAAAUUCAGGUGUAUCCAGAAGGGAAAAUGAGCCAGCAUUUUGCAAGCUUAAAACCAGGAGAUGUAGUACCCAUUGAAUAACUGAGAUAUGUUUCCAACAUGAAGAAGCAUAUUGGCAUGAUUGCAGGUGGUUCUGGUAUUACUCCAAUGCUUCAGGUCAUUGACGCUACACUAAAAAAUCUUGAUGACACAACCAAGGGCCAGCGAUAAGUGUCAAAAGGAGAAGAGGAAGCAUGCACUUAUCAUGCAUUUUCAAAGGAGCAAGCGAGUGCACUAGUGUUGCCCACUGCCACAUUUGUCAAUUCGUCCUAAGAAAUGUCAAAAUGGAGCUCUAGUAAUGCACAAAAUGCAGGCAAUGAAGACCUGGUGGUAGCCAAAGGGACUUAUGAGAAGGGAACAAGGGAUGAUAUUGAAGAGUUCAUAUAUAAAUUGUUGGACAUAAACGGCGAUGGUGUUUUGGGGAGGUAAAUCCUACAUAAGGACAAUGAUAGGAUGUUGUUUACGUUUAUGGAAGUGCAUGCUUAUAACGUUUACAUUCAUAUAUGUUUUGCACUAUAAAAGUAACGGCAUUGAUUAGUACAAUUAAUGUUGUUAGAUUUUGUUGCUAGUGUAUUAGUUUCAGA